rnacentral:lncRNA from 1 species
CCAGCCCGAGGCGCACGCCGAGCCCCGGCCAGCCGCGCUGCGCGUCCUCGGGCCUCGGGGGCGGCUGCACCCCAAAUGCCCCCUCGCCGUCCCACGGGGCCACCAACUAUCCUAGCGGGCGAGGAAGAGGCGGCGGGAAAAGGAGAGGAAGGAGGGCGCGAGCGGCGGCGGGCGCGAGAAGGCAGGACCCACGCCCGCCCGGAGCAUCACGUACCUUCAGCUCCUCGAUGUCCAGCCAGCGCUAAGGGGAUUUCUCUCAUCUGUCAAAAAGCAACAUUUCCUCUCCAGACGGAUACGGUGCUGCUGGGUCUUAAAGACUGCCCUCUGCCCAGAAUCCAUUUUGGGCAACAAAGAAUGGGACUCCAAGCUGACUGCUAACAGCCUGAGCAUGAGACAAAUCCACUGAAUGUUCUGAAUUCACUCUUCCUCUCCUCAUUACUGAGAGCCAGGUAAGUCACUCUCAGAUUGGAGCUCUGUUCCCUCCCAUGCAGCUCU